UACGUAGGGUCCGAGCGUUAAUCGGAAUUACUGGGCGUAAAGCGUGCGCAGGCGGUUUUGUAAGCCAGAUGUGAAAGCCCCGGGCUUAACCUGGGAAUGGCAUUUGGGACUGCAAGGCUGGAGUACGGCAGAGGGAGGUGGAAUUCCAGGUGUAGCAGUGAAAUGCGUAGAUAUCUGGAGGAACACCGAUGGCGAAGGCGGCUCUCUGGGCCUUACCUGACGCUGAGGAGCGAAAGCUGGGGGAGCGAACAGG
rnacentral:rRNA from 1 species